GAUGAGCGCUGGCGGCGUGCCUAAUACAUGCAAGUCGAGCGAACAGACGCGGAGCUUGCUCCUCUGACGUUAGCGGCGGACGGGUGAGUAACACGUGGAUAACCUACCUAUAAGACUGGGAUAACUUCGGGAAACCGGAGCUAAUACCGGAUAAUAUAUUGAACCGCAUGGUUCAAUAGUGAAAGACGGUUUUGCUGUCACUUAUAGAUGGAUCCGCGCCGCAUUGGCUAGUUGGUAAGGUAACGGCUUACCAAGGCAACGAUGCGUAGCCGACCUGAGAGGGUGAUCGGCCACACUGGAACUGAGACACGGUCCAGACUCCUACGGGAGGCAGCAGUAGGGAAUCUUCCGCAAUGGGCGAAAGCUUGACGGAGCAACGCCGCGUGAGUGAUGAAGGUCUUCGGAUCGUAAAACUCUGUUAUUAGGGAAGAACAAAUGUGUAAGUAACUAUGCACGUCUUGACGGUACCUAAUCAGAAAGCCACGGCUAACUACGUG
rnacentral:rRNA from 1 species